rnacentral:rRNA from 1 species
UGAGGAAUAUUGGGCAAUGCCCGCAAGGGUGACCCAGCAACGCCGCGUGGAGGAUGAAUGUCGUAAGAUUGUAAACUCCUGUUAGAGGGGAAGAAUAGUACCGGUUGGACCGGUAUAUGACUGUACCCUCAGAGAAAGCCCCGGCUAACUACGUGCCAGCAGCCGCGGUAAUACGUAGGGGGCAAGCGUUGUCCGGAUUUACUGGGUGUAAAGGGCGCGCAGGCGGGAUAAAAAGUCAGUGGUGAAAUCCUACAGCUUAACUGUAGAACUGCCUUUGAUACUUUUAGUCUUGAGUUCGGGAGAGAGAGACGGAAUUCCAGGUGUAGUGGUGAAAUACGUAGAUAUCUGGAAGAACACCAGUUGCGAAGGCGGUCUCUUGAUCCGACACUGACGCUGAGGCGCGAAAGCGUGGGGAGCAAACA